UACAGAGGGUGCGAGCGUUAAUCGGAAUUACUGGGCGUAAAGCGCACGUAGUCGGCUUUGCAAGUCGGGUGUGAAAUCCCCAGGCCUAACCUGGGAACUGCAUUCGAGACUGCAUGGCUAGAGUAUCGGAGAGGGAAGUGGAAUUUCAGGUGUAGCGGUGAAAUGCGUAGAUAUCUGAAGGAACAUCAGUGGCGAAAGCGGCUUCCUGGACGAAUACUGACGCUCAUGUGCGAAAGCGUGGGGAGCAAACAGG
rnacentral:rRNA from 1 species